rnacentral:rRNA from 1 species
UACGUAGGGUGCGAGCGUUAAUCGGAAUUACUGGGCGUAAAGUGUGCGCAGGUGGCUGAGCAAGUCGAGUGUGAAAUCCCCGAGCUUAACUUGGGAAUUGCGCUCGAAACUACGUGGCUCGAGUGUGGCAGAGGAAGGUGGAAUUCCACGUGUAGCGGUGAAAUGCGUAGAGAUGUGGAGGAACACCGAUGGCGAAGGCAGCCUUCUGGGCCAACACUGACGCUCAUGCACGGAAGCGUGGGGAGCGAACAGG